rnacentral:lncRNA from 1 species
AUUUUUAGUACCUAUGCAAAUAGGGUUAAAAUCACAUAAAAUACUUGCAAGAAUACAAGGCUAUUGUAGUAUAGAUGCUCAUGCAAUGUCAUUCUCCUCAAGGACUAUUUAGCAAUAUAUGUAAAAAUAAUUUCUAAUUAACUACCUAAAAUUAAAAGUUGAGAAAGAUGAUUGUGAAGUUGUUUGACACUAAAAACAAAUUUUAAACAAAAACAAUUACGGUUGCAGGAAAGAGUUGUAAAUACCAAUU